GUCCCACAACAUAAUAAAGUAAAGGCUUACAAAUUGUAUAAAGAGAGGAAACAAAACAUACCUUCCUCAAUUCUAACCAUCAAAGCUACAAAUGAAGACAUCAAAAUCAACAAGAUUCUUACCUCUCCUCUUGCUUCUUCUCAUUUCAGCUUGCUCAACCAAAACCGAAAUGGUUGGUUUUGCUCGGGCUAUAAGAAUCCCGGAACACACUUGUAUAAAGCAGUUUAACGAGACGAUAUGUGAACCCGAGAGAUGUCAACAUCAGUGUACCAAAAGAGAGCCAUUUGGUGUAGGGAAAUGCAAUGGUAACAUGUGUGUUUGUUCAUAUUAUUGUAAGUUACCCCCUAUGUGACCAAUACUGUUUUCAUAUAUGUAAGGCUCCCUGUUCUAAAAAUAAGAUCUUUGAACUGUGUUGGGAGCCCAAAAUCUACUUUAUGUUUUUUUUUAAUAUAUACUUUUUUGAAA